CAAAAAGUAGCUUAAUAAAAAGCACUCGGCUUACAAUCGAGACAUAUUAGUCUACUAAUCUUUUUGA
rnacentral:tRNA from 1 species